rnacentral:misc_RNA from 1 species
GGCCGCUGGGUAGCUGUACGUUGUGUAUACCGUUUUCCGAAAUUAUUCUAUUUUUCCACGAACGUAUUAGUUCAUUAAUUUUUAUUUUCAUCGUUUUGGUCACCUGUGCGAUCGAUAUUUCAAUAACAUGGCGAACCGACGACCCCAGCAAAAUAACGGGCGGCGCAUUGACCGGCCGAAGACCUUCGGGCGCAGCGGAGUGUCGCCUUGGCAGGGCGCGGGCCCGGGCGGAGGCCUACCUAACCUCCUACCUCUCGGCGGAGGCUCCACGGAGGCUACGCUAGCCCUCGCUAGCAACAUCAUCAACUUACUGCAACCGCGACAAAACCCUGUCCCGUCUCUCCUCGACAUGCCUAUCAGGCGCGACUUUGGGCCCAAUAUGGGUCGGUUUGACCGUGGUUACGGUCCUAACCGGAUGGGCAAUCAAAAUUUCCGGCGUACGGGCAAUUACAAUCGCUCUGGUGAGCGCAUCAACAACAAUCGUAAGCCGUUCAGGCCCAAUGAUGGGCAAAGGCAACAAAACAAGAGCUCCCCGAAAAAGGAUGCCGAUUCUAAGGCUAAGCCUGUCAAGGAGAGCGAACAAGCUGAGAAAGACCAAGAUGGCAAGGACCAAUCUGAGAAGAAAGACGAGACCACCGAAGAGAAGAAGGAAGGGCCGAAGACACGAUAUGAUGACAUCAACUCUCAGCUGCUGAAGUGUCACAUUUGCAACAAGAGCAUGUGGGACGGACGUUCGUUCGAGAACCACCUGAGUGGACGGGCCCAUGCCAUUAUGAUGCAGAAGACUGCUGAGAGCUAUGCCCUGACGGCUGAUACCAUGAGGCAAGAGUUUAAGAUCCGCGAAAUGAAGCGGUCCCGCAAGACUGGCAUGCAGCCGACGCGCGACUUCUACUGCGCGAUGUGCGACAUGUACGCGGCCGACGGGGCGGCGCACCGCACCACCGUGGGGCACCGCAAACUCAAGAAGUACCUGCACCCCUCCUGCACCUGCUGCCACAAGGAGAUGCCCACCAGGAUCGAGCUGGACGAGCACAGGUUGACAGCUGAGCAUUUGAGGAACAUGCAGGACAAGCAGGAGGUUGUGGCUAAACCGAAACCUGAAGUGAUGGUGAUCUCCACACUGACGAUGGAGCAGUCUUACCUGCGUGAUGAGCGCCAGCGCGGCCGCCGCCGGGACGAACCUGCUGACAAGGACAAGCAGGACGACAACAAAGACGCUGAGAAACAGGAUGGUGAUGAAGUGAAAGUGAAGACAGAAGACCCCGACCAGGAGGGCGUGGAAGUGAAGCAGGAAGAGGAGAAGAAGACAAUAGACAAGGAGGGAACUAUCCUCGAUUACAACGAGGGUGAUGACCUCUCCGGAAUUACUGCCGAGCAGUUGCCUGUCUACAGCAUGGACCGCGGCGUGGGCCGCUCGUUCCUGUCGGACUUCCGCUGCAUCCAGUGCAAGCUGUGCCGCAAGCUGCUGGACACCGAGGAGACGGCCGAGGUGCACCUCAAGACGUGGCGGCACCACCAGCUGUUCCUCAGGGUGCUCAAUGAGAAGUCUGGUGCGCAACAGUCAACCGAGCAACAAACAUCAGAGAGUAACAACAAGCGGCCGCUGGACUCUGAGGAAUCCGGCAACUGGAAGCGCCGCAAGACCGAGGAAGAUGGCAACGAAGAACAAGAACACGAGCAGCAGAACGGACAUGAUGACAACGGUAUGCAAGAACAAUCCCACGAGGACGCUGAUGGUGACACUGAGAUGCCUCCACCAGAGGAGCUUGAAGACUGGGAGCAGUCCGUUGAUGAGAUACUGCAAGAUGAAAGUGUGGAGAUCAAGGAAGAGAAGCCCCCGACCCCCGAGCCGGUGGUAGAGCCCCCGCGGCAGGCGCCGCAGACUCGCAGCACCCCGCGCGGCCGCGGCCGCGGGCGUGGCCGGCGGUACUAGGGACCCUAUACCACUCACCGGCGAAUUUAUGGGCUUCUAUAUAUAAUUUCCAAUAUUACAUACCUACAUAAAUUCACGCCUAUUUCCCACCGGGGUACGCAGACUAACCUGCAUAUCAUCGCCUUAUGGUAAAUACCACAUAACCAAUUUGGUUUUCUACAACAAUACCUCGAUUUCUUUAAAUUUCAACAAAAAAUAAUUCAACAACAUGACAUAACAUAAGCUCACGACUACAUCCCGAUUAGAGUAGUCUGAUAUAUCAAGAUGAACUAAGCACUCACCUCGCCAAGCUUUCUGUUAGACCAACGUGAGAGUCGUCGGACGACGCUCAGUGGGUAGGCCCGCUACAAGGUGGACCGACGAUCUGGUGAAGGUCGCGGGAAGCCGCUGGAUGCGGGCAGCGCAGGACCGAUCGUAGUGGAGAUCCUUGAGGGAGGCCUAUGCCCAGCAGUGGGCGUCGUACGGCU